GUGUCCUCGAGGGGGCGGAGACGCUCUCGG
rnacentral:sRNA from 1 species